ACUUAACAGAAGAAAGGCAACUUUUUUUUUUUUUAAUCCCAACUGGGCUAGAAGAGUUUAUAGGGCUUUUGUACAGGGAAUAAGUGGACAAUGAUUUACCUUAUUAUUUCUAAGACACCAUAGAUUGUUUCACUUACUAUCGUUUGUAUGCAUUUAGAAAGAAAAAAAAUACUGUGACAAUUAAAUCAGGAUAAACCAAUGAUAAGAUGAAUCCUAAUUUCUUUUUUUGUUUGUUUGUUUGUCUUUUCUUGGGCUGCACCUACGGCAUAUGGAGAUUCCCAGGCUAGGGUUCGAAUCGGAGCUGUAGCCACCGGCCUACGCCAGAGCCACAGCAACGCAGGAUCCGAGCCACAUCUGCGACCUACACCACAGCUCACAGCAACGCCGGAUCGUUAACCCACUGAGCAAGGCCAGGGAUCGAACCUGCAACCUCGUGGUUCUUAGUCGGAUUCGUUAACCACUGAGCCACGACGGGAACUCCUGAAUCCCAGUUUCAAAAAUGUUUUUUAAAACCAUGAGUUUAGACUCCAUGAAAUAUACAAGAUAAUUUAGAUCAGUAUGAUAGGAAAAUUAUUGUUCCUCAGAUAUCUCUUUAGAAAUUUGUAUCUCUUUUAUGUCUCUUCUGUUAAUAUCUUAAUUUAAGAUUUUUCAUCAUUAUUUUUGCCUGGCCAAUUAAUAUGCAAAAGCUAUUGUUUUUCCACCUCACUUCUCCUCCCUCCAAUCCAUUUUCAGUGCUGUUGUCAGACUAAUCUUCCUAAAAUACAACUCUGUCAAUGACUUGCACCGAUUAAAGAUUUUCAUUGAUUUCCUACAUACGUAAUUAAAUCCAUGCUUCUUAAAUGAGAAUCCAAGGCACUUUAUCAUGAGUCCCAAACUACUUCUGCAGCUUCAUCUUUCGUCACACCUCAGUGUGUAUUUUACCCCCACACUUAGCUUCUCAUCAUUUUCCAAGACACCAUCCACAUAGAGGUGAAUGUUCUGCUUUCUCUUUCAAUAUUAUUCUUUCUCAGUGUUAUUAUUAUCGCUCCCAGCCAUAAUUCUCUUUUCUUGGUAAACUCCUAUGCAUCCUUCAAGACCCAGCUCAAAUGGAACAUCCUUUUUAAAACAUUCUCCAUCUACUUCCAGGCAGCUGGGAAAGCUGUCUGGGAGAAUGGGUAAUCACUUACCCCCAUUCACUUCUUUAACAGAUGAGUAAAAAGAGACCAGAACAAGUAAAAUAUUUUGCCCAACAUUAUACACAAGCUGAUAGCCACUGUUAGCACAGGACUUCAUGAUUUCUUACUCCGAGUCCACUUUUUCUUCCACUUACAUGGACAUAAACGAAAGAAAAGAGUGAAAGUAAAAUCUGAAACCACACCUGAUCAGCAGAUCUCCCUAAUUAAUCUCCAGCAGGUCUGUCGGACGCUACUGAAACUUCCAAGAGGCAAACGGAUGUCCUGAGAAGUCAAUUACAAGUAGAUGCAAAUCUCUGUGCCCUUCUUUGGGUUACUUUUUACCUCUCAGAAUAAUAAUGCCUACCUCACAAAACAUCAUAGGAUUAAAUAAAAUUUGUGUGUUUCAAAUGCCUCUCACAGUGACCGACAUAAUGAAGGCUCAAGAAACAUUAGCUUCUUUGCCUGUGUCCUACUAGUGAGAUCUAAAUAUGAUUUUAGAUUAAAUCCAUUGUUAAACCACUAAUGUAGUUAAGGAAAAUUGUAUUUAAUACAUCUGAAAAAAAAAAAAACCACAGCUUUGGUAUAAAUUCCCCAGUGAGGGUGAUGGCAUCCUGUUUAUUUAAUACACACAUGUUCACUUUACAAAGGGGGCAGGUGGCACUGCCGUCAAAUGCCAUAGCUUUUGGCCAUUAGACCCCCAGCCUCAAAAAGAAAUGGAUCAGUUGGGCAAAUACAAGGAAGCAAACAAAUGCACAACUAUAAAUAUCCAUGUAGAACCCAGAAAUAGAGAGAGAUCAAAGGCGGAUUAUUGUGCUACCCAGGAGAGACACCAAGAAGAUUCACAUUGGGACAGCAAGAUCAAGGCACCCAGAAGACCUAUUCAGGACUUCCAACCAUAUCUGGAGGGAAAUCAAAGACUGAAUCUUGGGCGAUUGCAUUUCAAAAUAAAUAAAGACUCCUCUACUUCCUUCACAAAAGAUCAGCCAAGCUAAAUUUAUGCUCUAGAAUAUUACCCUGGGAGUUGUCCCUGGAAGAAAUCAUUUUAACCCUAAUACCGCUCUUUGUUUUGAAUCCAAGUUUUCCGCCUUUGCCCACGCAGCCAUGAGCAGGCAAAUUAGAAAAGCACCCAAUCAAAAAAUAUUUAUUGAGCAAACUGAUGCAACGUGCUAUACGAGGGGAAGUGCCAGUCCCCAGAAGUUAUGGAAAUACCUCCCGAGUAGUUUAAAUUCCCUGUUAUGAGUUUCUUCUUUAGGGUGAGACACUGCCGUUUUUCUUUUGAAGAUCCUCCUUUAAGUGUCAAAAUCCCUGCUGUGAAGCUUGACAACAUCUUUCCAGAAGAGAUGAAUUGCUGACAUUUGAAAGCCUAGACUCGGAAGAGGUCAGGAAACAUUAAAAGACAAGAGGGAAGAAAGGUAAGAAGAGAAUGAAGAAACACAACUUCCUACUUCAGUGACGUUAUGGAUUGUGUGAUAUCAAGCCAAAUUAGUAAUAGAUGUUAUCCAUACGCUAACUUCUAUCAAUUCAUAGAGCCCCAUGCUAAGGAGUGGGAGCCCAUUUCUGGACAGGGGAAGAGAGUUGAAGCGGUGGUACCCAAAACAUGUAUUUUCUAACCCUACUACAGGUGAAGACCACAAAGUCAGAAGCCAGAAUGUCUAGAUUUAAAUGUGGGCUCUAGCACUUAACCCUGAUUCUGUGCACAUCACUGCACCACUCGGACAUCAAGUUUCUUUACCUAGGAAAUAGAGUACAGGAAGAUUAUUAUAACUGGUAAGGGUACAGUUGCAAAAUAUUUAAUCUCUAAAUUAAGUAGAGAUAAUUUAUUAUCAGGGAUUACAUGGCUUACAAAAUCAUAGGAAAGCAGGAAAGGCCAACUCUAGACUGACUUCCCCAAACGCUUCCCAGUCCCCACCAUCACACUGCUUCUGCCAUGGUGGCAGAAGUGCUGUCACCACCAGUGAAAGAAGGUGCCACGUUACGAAGCCGCCAACUGAAAACCAUCAUGCCGGUGCCACAGCCCUGCCGUGCAAGAUGCAUGUCUGCUAUCUGCUCUUUCCCCUCCUUAACUCAGUUCUGAAUCAAAAGCUCCCAGCUGGGCCUCUCAUUGCUAGAACCCAAAUCACAUGCACCUCUCUAGCUGUAAAAGUUUAUGGCCCUGAGAUCUUGAACUUACAGCACAUCUAGUUUAGGGGGAUACUGUUGGCAAUGCAACCUGGAGCACGGAUGAGGUGCCACUUCAGGAAUGACAUGACACUACAUUACUCCAGCUGCCAAGAUCAUUGGUAGCUGGCAUUGCCCAGCUAAGUCUUUCUCUAGGAAUUACUGUCAGUUGCAGAGAGCUAACUCACUCAAGAUCAGACCCGCAUCUUGGGGUAUUGUAGGUCUAAUUACUGAUCCAUAAGAGGGUAUAAAGAACCAGACCCCUUGUCUCAAGGCAGGUCAUCUUUGAAGGUCAUCUCAGCUCCAGAGAUCCUCAUGCAAUUGAGUCCUUUGUCAUGACUGCCUCAUAGUCUCCCCUUAUCCUUGCCAGACUCACGGCAUAUGGAAAUUCCCAGGCCAGGGAUCGAAUCUGAGCCACACUGCAACCUACAUCACAGCUACAGCAAUACCAGAACCUUAACCCAGCAUGCCGGGCCAGGGAUCAAACCUGUACCUCAGCAGUGAUCAGAGCUGCUACAGAGACAAUGCUGGAUCCUUCACCUGCUGCACUGCAGCAGGAACUCCUUCCUCACAGUUCUUUUCUCUGCCCAUCCUAUGCCCUUUAUUCCCCACAGCUAUUGAUCUCAUAAUCACUCCAAUAACAACUUCCUGUAUACAAGUAUUCACUUCAGAAUCUAUUUCCUGAGGAACCGCCCUAACACAGUCAUGUCAGAAGUAGGUGGAAUAAAGGUUGAGUAAGCCAACUCUCAAUAGUCACCAUAAUUUCAGUAUGAGCAUUAAACCAUAUAAUAAGUAUGAAAAAAAAAUCUCUAGAAUUUCACACAAUGAAAUGCCUGGCCCAUGGUGAGCCAAUAUAUAUUUGCUUAGUAAUAACAAAAUAUAACUAGCAUUUGUUGAGCUCUUACUACAUCUCCAGAUACUACUCUAAGUUCUUUGCCUAAACUAACUCAUCUAAACCUCAUUAUAAGCUUAGGAAGUACAUACUACCAUUAUCUGCUUUACAAAUGAGGUAAAUAAGACACAAAGAGGUUAAUGUCAAGGUGAAAUAGGCCGUAAGUAGCAGAAAUAGAGGAUUUUACCCCUUUAGUCUAAUUUUAUCCUGCAAGGUUAAAGUCUACAGAGUCUGUAGUCUUAACCACUUUUCUGUAGUCUCUGCAUUGACUUUUCAAAAAUGUGAUGGGAAAAGAGAACUAAGGGAUUCUUACUGGGGCCUGUGGGAGGCUAACUAAUGACCCCCUUAAACUUCCCAUGACUGAAUCCCUGGAAUCUGCGACUGUGUUAUAUUAUAUGGCAAAAGGGACUUUAGGGAUGUAAUUAAAUUAAAAACAUUGAGGUGAGGAAAUUACGCUAGAUUAUUUCCGUGGGCUGUAAACAUAAUCACACAUCCUCAAAAGAGAGUGGCAGAGGAGUACCCAUUGUGGCUCUGCCAAAACGAAUCUGACUAGCAUCCAUGAGGACGCAGGUUCGAUCCCUGGCCUCACUCGGUGGGGUAAGGGUCGGGCAUUGCUGUGAGCUAUGGUAUAGGUCACCUGGGAACCGCCAUAUGCUUAUUUGAUGGAUUAUGUAGGAACAUCUAUUGGGGAAUUAGGAGUCAGACCUGUGAGUGAUUAUAGGUUAAUAGGUAGAACACACUAAACUCUGAAAAUACUGGCUUUGGGCUUGGAGACUACCUACCACCAUCUACUUCAGUACACGGGACAGUUGCCAGGUGAGCAGUGAGAUUCAGAAAUAUAAUAUGGGUACUUGGUCAUCAGGAUUAAUAAGUCAAACUUCUCUUCUCCCAAAGUCUAAUUUCCAGGAGUUAUACAUUACACAUAGGCCAGGUCAACUAAUGUAUAAUACAUGGAAAGAUUCAUACUUAAUUUUCAGAGUAGCUUUUUCUCCAUGCCACCUGAUAAGUAGCUUUAGACAUAAUCAAAAUAAGAGCCAGAGCUGAGACCCACAUAAAGUCAAAGAUGAGACAAACAAGACCAGAUCCCAUCUGCUAAUCAUCUCUCAGAAGGUGGGAGAAAAAAGGGGAGGGCUCCCUAUUCAAGGGCCAUUAGAACCUUCCUUGGAAAACAGCAAAUGCCUUCCAGAUUUAGAAAGCCUCACUCUCUCUCAACAUUCUUAGCCCCUGAGCCAGCCUCCUUAAAUCCUUUCUGGAACAAAGUGAAAAUACUGAAAUAAAUACAAUAAGCAGUUCCCUUUACCUUCACUAUCUAGUUAUAAACAGGCUUGGCAACAACUAUGGUAGGAGUCAGAAAGUGGGAGAAAUGGUCAAUUCCUGAGUAAUCUUAAUUAAUCAUCUCAAGGAGCCGUGCAAAUAAGGUGAUCUAGAACCAGUGCUUCUCAAGCUAUUGGUGGUGAGAGAACAAAUUUAUUUAAAAUUUCCAAUCCAUUAUGGUCCAAUAACCUUGUAUAUUCGAUCAAAAGGAAUUAAAGGAAGAGUGAUAUGGGAAAAAAAGGCAUGAAAUACAAGCCCAAUUUAUUUUACUUAUUAGAUACACAAACAUAAAAUUACUCUUUCAAAAAGCUAUUGGUUUCUGAAGAGUUAUGCAAUCUCUGUACUUACCCUGUCACCAGUUGGUAACAAACAGCUCAAGGAUGGAAUCGGUCCAUGGAACACAAUUUGAGAAGCUCUGAUCUGUAUCAAGAGCCUCUAGGUUGAAAAUUUAAGUAAGUUACUGCUAGACUCAAUAUGCAAGGUGAAAUUCUCUAAUGUCAGUACUAUUUCUAGGUAACUAGUCAAGUAUGUCUCUUAUGUACACAUUCUUCUAACUCUGAACAGUCUCCACGGUCUUCUUUGAGUAAUUGAGAUACUUCUGUACCCCCUAUAUAAAGAUAUUUGCUGUUUCUACAAUUACCCCUUACCCUGUCCAUAU
rnacentral:lncRNA from 1 species